rnacentral:lncRNA from 1 species
AUCCAGCACUUGCCCCUUUCCUCAUUCUUGCUGGUUCUUCUUUGUGCCUCUCUUGUCGUCAUUUGUUUCUCAGGCUCCCCUGUCUUAUGAAGUGGUUUCACUUUACCUUUGCAUUGUUUUCGUUCUUCCACGGUCACUGCACCUCAGUUCUGUAUCUUUCUAGGUCCUUCUCGUUACCCCCCGCUCUCACCACUUCUCUUUUCCGUUUCCCCGUGUGAUUCCAGUCCCUUUUUCUCUUUCCUUCGCUGUGUUUCGUUUGUUAUUUCUCUCCCCCAUUGCCGCCACGUG